UUAAACAGUGGCUCAGUUGGUAAAGCAUUGCUCUAACAACGCAGAGGUCAUGGGUUCAAUUCGGGUUUCAAA